rnacentral:rRNA from 1 species
UAUUGGACAAUGGGCGAAAGCCUGAUCCAGCAAUACCGCGUGUGUGAAGAAGGCCUUAGGGUUGUAAAGCACUUUCAAUUGGGAGGAAAACCUGCCGGUCAAUACCCGGUAGCUUGACAUUACCUUUAGAAGAAGCACCGGCUAACUCCGUGCCAGCAGCCGCGGUAAUACGGAGGGUGCGAGCGUUAAUCGGAAUUACUGGGCGUAAAGCGUGCGUAGGCGGUUCGUUAAGUCAGAUGUGAAAGCCCUGGGCUCAACCUGGGAACUGCAUUUGAAACUGGCGGACUAGAGUUUAGUAGAGGGGAGUGGAAUUUCAGGUGUAGCGGUGAAAUGCGUAGAUAUUUGAAGGAACACCAGUGGCGAAGGCGACUCCCUGGACUAGAACUGACGCUGAGGUACGAAA